rnacentral:lncRNA from 1 species
CUGAUGGAGAAGAGAAGACAGGACCCAGGCACAAGCAGCGCAAUCUGUAUGAACAAAUACAAGAAUCACAUACUCCACAGUCCCAUGAGCCACGGGGAUAGAUAGCAAAGGGUUCCCCAGCAGCCCUGGCAGGCAGGUAGACAGCCACAGCUAUGCGGGCCCUUAGGUCAGCCCUCUCAGAUGAUCUGAAACCACUUCAGUCUGUCUGAAGCUCUCAUGAACAUUUCCUGUUAAGUAUUGUUUUCAAUAAUUUAUUCUGGAGGAGAUGUUGGCUCCCCUGGGAAUCACUUUGCAGCACAUCCCCUCCAGAGACCAGCUACAGACAUCAGGCGCCAGGAUAGAAGAGUCGCUCUGUGUAGACGGUGGACCAGGAAUAAGGUUGCCUCAAAAAAAUAAUAGCUGACAUCCGCCCCACCCUCCACUCUUCAAUCAAGCCAGUCAGGCAAUGAACCUUUUCACACCUGAGGGAUUAUUUUUGCUUUUGUCUGAUUCUGCUGUGUUAAAGGAAACAAGUGUUGAGAAAGGACUCAAUUAACUGAGCUUCAGGAUAAUCCAAGGUGAAGAAAAACAAGAGCUGACAAAGAAAAGAAAUGGGCAUGUGCAAAGCGAUGAAAAAUCUGUGUUGCCUGACAAACAACUGUCAGUGAAACAAGGCUAUAUUUUACCUUAUUUUUUCAGUUCUCAUAUCAUAAACAAAAGAUGCUCUUGGACCACCCUGGUGAUAAUCUGAUAGUCCUUUGCAGAACAAAGAGGUGAUCCCGAACCAGGUCAGUGGAUAUGCGUACAGAAAACAGAACACCAGUCAGCUGACCUUGCUGUCUUUGCUGAGCUGUGUCCCAUUAUCACAGUCAAGUUCACCUUACAGCUCAAUUGGCAUGCAACAUUUUUCUCAUAUGUCAAAUGAAAUGAGAAGUAAAAUGUGUCCUGAGAUCUAAAUGGUAGCUGAUAAAAAUGAAAGUUUCCUAAUGAUACUUCUUUAAAAAUAAAUAAAUAAAUAAGACCUAGUUACUUCUACAGACAGGGCCCUGCAAGGGGGCAGACACUAGUUAGGUUUUUACAAAUUUUAAUGCCUGAGAUGUUUCUACACAGAAUGCCCUUAGCUUAACAACACGGGACUGAUUUAACACAAACAGGGAGAUCCUUGCUGAGAAAAUAGGCAUGGACUUUGGUCUUGUUGUCAAAGAUGAAAGUGCCCCUUGGCACAUAUAGAGACAGAAGGCAGAUUUAUAUGUGCAACCGGACAGGGCUGAGGAGAUUAAACUGUGCUUAGCAGCUUCAGUACCCAUUUGGGCUCAUGGUGAAUGGCAUUUUUGUUCCACCUUGCUGUCAGUAUUCUCGGUUGCUUCAGAUUGGUGUCAAUCAGCAUUAGAAAUUACACCACUGGAAGACUCAGGUAUUUCUGAUUUUCCUUCUCAUUCAUUUUGCCAAGUGGGAAUUGUUCACGAACUUUUCUGCAGAACAAUAGCUCCCUUCCUAUGGCUGCAGUCCAAGCCUCUGUAACAGUGUAAUUCAUUUUCUAGAAAUGCUUGGUCCACAAUUUCCAUUGACUGUGGUCACAGACUUUUCCCUUCCCCAGCUACUCCUUUUUCUACAACUCUGGAUUUUGUGGCUCAAAAUUUGGGACACUGACAAGGACUCAACUUGAGCCAGACCAGAAGAAAUGAAUUUGAAUCUGAAUUAAAAGAGGAAUGAUUUAAAAGAUGUGAAGGAGGACUUUUUUUCUUUUUUUUUUUUUUGAUAUGGAGUUUCAUUCUGUCACCCAGGCUGGAGUACAGUGGUACGAUCUUGGCUGACUGCAGCCUCUGCCUCCUGGGUUCAAGUAAUUUUCCUGUCUCAGCCUCCCGAGUAGCUGGGAUUACAGGUGCCCACCACCACAUCC